GUGCUCACUUCGACAGCACAUAUACUAAAAUUGGAAUGAUACAGGGAAGAUUAGCUUGGCCCCUGUGCAAGGAUGACACACAAAUUCAUGAAGCGUUCCAUAUUUUU
rnacentral:snRNA from 1 species